rnacentral:rRNA from 1 species
GACGAACGCUGGCGGCGUGCCUAAUACAUGCAAGUUGAGCGAUGAAGAUUGGUGCUUGCCCCAAUUUGAAGAGCAGCGAACGGGUGAGUAACGCGUGGGGAAUCUGCCUUUGAGCGGGGGACAACAUUUGGAAACGAAUGCUAAUACCGCAUAACAACUUUAAACAUAAGUUUUAAGUUUGAAAGAUGCAAUUGCAUCACUCAAAGAUGAUCCCGCGUUGUAUUAGCUAGUUGGUGAGGUAAAGGCUCACCAAGGCGAUGAUACAUAGCCGACCUGAGGGGGUGAUCGGCCACAUUGGGACUGAGACACGGCCCAAACUCCUACGGGAGGCAGCAGUAGGGAAUCUUCGGCAAUGGACGAAAGUCUGACCGAGCAACGCCGCGGGAGUGAAGAAGGUUUUCGGAUCGUAAAACUCUGUUGGUAGAGAAGAACGUUGGUGAGAGUGGAAAGCUCAUCAAGUGACGGUAACUACCCAGAAAGGGACGGCUAACUACGUG